UACGUAGGUGGCAAGCGUUGUUCGGAAUUAUUGGGCGUAAAGGGCGCGUAGGCGGUUUGUUAAGUCGGCUGUGAAAGCCCGGGGCUCAACCCCGGAGGGUCAGCCGAUACUGGCAGACUAGAGUACGGAAGAGGUAGCUGGAAUUCCCGGUGUAGCGGUGAAAUGCGUAGAUAUCUGGAGGAACACCGGUGGCGAAGGCGGCAUCCUGGACCGGCAUUGACGCUGAGGCGCGAAAGCCAGGGGAGCAAACGGG
rnacentral:rRNA from 1 species